GGGGAGUUUGAUCCUGGCUCAGGAUGAACGCUGGCGGCGUGCCUAAAACAUGCAAGUCGGGCGAACAGAUAAGGGGCUUGCUCCUUUGACGUUAGCGGCGGACGGGUGGGUAACCCGUGGAAAACCUACCUAAAAGACUGGGAAAACUUCGGGAAACCGGGGCUAAAACCGGAAAACAAAUUGAACCGCAUGGUUCAAAAGUGAAAGGCGGCUUUGCUGUCCCUUAAAGAUGGAUCCGCGCCGUAUUAGCUAGUUGGUAAGGUAACGGCUUACCAAGGCAACGAAACGUAGCCGACCUGGGAGGGUGAUCGGCCCCACUGGAACUGGGACCCGGUCCAGACUCCUACGGGAGGCAGCAGUAGGGAAUCUUCCGCAAUGGGCGAAAGCCUGACGGGGCAGCGCCGCGUGGGUGAUGAAGGUCUUCGGAUCGUAAAACUCUGUUAUCAGGGAAGAACAAAUGUGUAAGUAACUGUGCCCAUCUUGACGGUACCUGAUCAGAAAGCCCCGGCUAACAACGUGCCAGCAGCCGCGGUAAAACGUAGGUGGCAAGCGUUAUCCGGAAUUAUUGGGCGUAAAAGCGCGCGUAGGCGGUUUUUUAAGUCUGAUGUGAAAGCCCCCGGCUCAACCGUGGGGGGUCAUUGGAAACUGGAAAACUUGGGUGCAGAAGGGGAAAGUGGAAUUCCAUGUGUAGCGGUGAAAUGCGCAGGGAAAUGGGGGAACCCCAGUGGCGAAGGCGACUUUCUGGUCUGUAACUGACGCUGAUGUGCGAAAGCGUGGGGAUCAAACAGGAUUAGAAACCCUGGUAGUCCCCGCCGUAAACGAUGGGUGCUAAGUGUUAGGGGGUUUCCGCCCCUUAGUGCUGCAGCUAACGCAUUAAGCCCGCCGCCUGGGGGGUACGACCGCAAGGUUGAAACUCAAAGGAAUUGACGGGGACCCGCCCAAGCGGUGGGGCAUGUGGUUUAAUUCGAAGCAACGCGAAGAACCUUACCAAAUCUUGACAUCCUUUGACCGCUCUAGGGAAAGGGUCUUCCCCUUCGGGGGACAAAGUGACAGGUGGUGCAUGGUUGUCGUCAGCUCGUGUCGUGGGAUGUUGGGUUAAGUCCCGCAACGGGCGCAACCCUUAAGCUUAGUUGCCAUCAUUAAGUUGGGCCCUCUAAGUUGACUGCCGGUGACAAACCGGGGGAAGGUGGGGAUGACGUCAAAUCAUCAUGCCCCUUAUGAUUUGGGCUACCCACGUGCUACAAUGGACAAAACAAAGGGCAGCUAAACCGCGGGGUCAAGCAAAUCCCAAAAAGUUGUUCUCAGUUCGGAUUGUAGUCUGCAACUCGACUACAUGAAGCUGGAAUCGCUAGUAAUCGUAGAACAGCAUGCUACGGUGAAAACGUUCCCGGGUCUUGUACACCCCGCCCGUCCCACCCCGGGAGUUUGUAACCCCCGAAGCCGGUGGGGUAACCAUUUAUGGGGCUAGCCGUCGAAGGUGGGACAAAUGAUUGGGGUGAAGUCGUAACAAGGUAGCCGUA
rnacentral:rRNA from 1 species